rfam:Geoglobus ahangari strain 234, complete genome.
ACCGAUGAUGAGCUGAUCCGCCGCUGAGGCGGUGAUGAGGCCAGUACGGUCUGAGGU